rnacentral:rRNA from 1 species
AAGUAGUAGAAAAUUAAUCGAAACUAAUAUAUUUUGGCGGCAUUUUAUUUUAUUAGAGGAACCUGUUUAUUAAUCGAUACCCCCCGUUAACAUUCACUUUUAUUUAAGAUUUUAUAUACCUCCGUAUCAGAACUAAUUUGAAGAUUCUAUUCAAAAUAUAUUUUAUAAAAAAAUAGGUAAAGGUGUAGACGAUAUAAAAGAUUAAAUGGGUUACAUUAAAAUCAAUUUAAGGAAAAAAUAAUAAAAUAUUUAGGAAAAAGGAUUUAUAAGUAGGAUUAUAAUAUUAUUUUAAUUUAAAUUAAAAUAAAAAUGUGC